rnacentral:rRNA from 1 species
UACGUAGGGUGCAAGCGUUGUCCGGAAUUAUUGGGCGUAAAGAGCUCGUAGGCGGUGUGUCGCGUCGGCCGUGAAAACCUGCAGCUUAACUGUGGGCUUGCGGUCGAUACGGGCAUCACUGGAGUUCGGCAGGGGAGACUGGAAUUCCUGGUGUAGCGGUGAAAUGCGCAGAUAUCAGGAGGAACACCGGUGGCGAAGGCGGAUCUCUGGGCCAUUACUGACGCUGAGGAGCGAAAGCGUGGGGAGCGAACAGG